rnacentral:rRNA from 1 species
CAAGGAAUUUUGCGCAAUGGGGGAAACCCUGACGCAGCAACGCCGCGUGGGUGAAGAAGGCCUUCGGGUUGUAAAGCCCUUUUGAAGGGGAAGAUAAUGACGGUACCCUUCGAAUAAGCCUCGGCUAACUACGUGCCAGCAGCCGCGGUAAUACGUAGGAGGCAAGCGUUGUCCGGAUUUAUUGGGCGUAAAGGGCGCGCAGGCGGCAUAUUAAGUCAGGUGUGAAAUCUCCCGGCUCAACUGGGAGGGUGCACCUGAUACUGGUAAGCUGGAGUGCAGCAGAGGGAGAUGGAAUUCCCGGUGUAGUGGUGAAAUGCGUAGAUAUCGGGAGGAACACCAGUGGCGAAAGCGGUCUCCUGGGCUGUAACUGACGCUGAGGCGCGAAAGCGUGGGGAGCGAACCGGAUUAGAUACCCGGGUAGUCCACGCCGUAAACGAUGGACACUAGGUGUGGGGGGUAUCGGACCCCCUCCGUGCCGUAGCCAACGCAAUAAGUGUACCGCCUGGGGAGUACGGCCGC